UUCGCUCCUCCACCCCCGUCCAAUAGCUCUGCCCCUCCCCCUACCAACAGCCCAUCGCCUCCCCCACCUCCCAGCAGCCCUCCUUCAGGCCCAUCGUGCAGGGGAAGAUGUGGUAACUAUAAUGGUUCUAGAAGUUGUCAAUGCGACGAUGCAUGCAGGAUGUACAGAGACUGUUGCCGUGAUCUAGAGUCUGUGUGCCAGAACCGAAACUAGGCGGAUUCACCGACUCAUUGAUAUGAUGUUGGAAUCGGACCAGGAACUGGACAGGGAAUACGGAUCAGUAAACAAAAAAAAUAACUUAGCCCUAAGACCUUUAACAAGCCUAUGCCUUUUACGAUAAAUACAAAUUAGAUAUUGAAAUUUGAUAUCAAUCAAUCUGUUAAGUUUUAAACUUUCGUUUUCCCUAUGUAGCUAUUGUACAACAUGAUAUACAAAGUAGAUGUAGAAAAACAAUUGUAGGCAUAAUACCCCCCAAAAAAGAGAAUUAUGUCAAAACUAUUUUCCUCUUAUCAUAAUCUUUGAAAUAUUAGUAUGUUCAUUUCUCGACUUUGCGAAUUUGAAUUCCUUGCUUUUAGAAGUAGCGAUUCAUCAGCGCACUUAAAUCGCCUUGUUAAAAAAAAAUCAAUGCACAGAUCUGAUGGAGGAAAGUCUGGAUGGGUUGGCCUAGGUAAGCCUUCUCAGCAUAAGUAAUAACGAUCGAUUUUUUUUCUUUCCCGCUAUAGCACCAAAAUGAAGCAUUAUUAUACAGGUACCAAAUAGAUUACUGUCCCAGCAGUCGUCUUAAGUGUCGUUAAAUGAAACAUGCACACUUCUUCCUAACGUUGGCUAUUUAGGACUGUUUAUGUAUCCUACUCUUUCGGGAAUCAAUCAACCUGAAUUGCAAUCGGCAUCAGGUUUGUAGUAUGAUUUCGAUAAUAAACAUUUGCAGAAAUCAGAAA